GCUACCACAACGAUGGCAUUGAACGAAUCCCCGCACUGCGUACACUAUUCUGUCUGAAAUUCCCCCUCUGCUAGAAGGUCGCGUUGGACACGAGGUCAUUUUCUCUGCGAGAGUUAUGAGAUCCUGCCAUGCCGGAAAUGAAGACGCAAGAUGCAGAAAUGAACAAGUGUAAGACGACACGGCACAGCAUGCCGAGACCUAGAGUGAUGCCUCAAAAUGAGCAGUAAAAUGUCGCCCCCCUUCGCACAGCAGAUGCCAAGCUGUCCGCUCCCAUCACCUUCACUCACCCACACAUUCUGGGCCUCCAUCUCUUUCUCUCUCGCCGUCUCGCAUUCUCUCCAAAGUCCUCCUUAUAUUCUUGCCAGCCACGCGCUUCCUGUUUCUUUCUCUCCUUCCGCUGCUCUCCCCUUGACCCAUCUGGCGAGCUCCUGGGAGGUAGGCAACAUGCUUUAUUCAUGCCGGGGAUUUGCCAUUCCUCCCGUGGACCCCCGCUGGCACUCACUUGCAGGCCGGUGGAAGGAGCCCCCAUCCUCUCCCCUCUUCCUACUCUCCCCCUCUGCACCCCCUUCUCUCUCUCUCUCUGUCCAUCCUAUGAAGCAAUGCGCCGCCUCGGACGGAAAGCCAUGCCUCCCCCUUUUUCCCAGACGGAACGGGGAGAAAAUAAGACGAAACGAGAUAACAACAGAAUGCUUAUCCAACACUCAUAACAACGAACAACGAGCCACAGCCGCUAUGUCUUCUCCGCCCACGCCGUGGUAGCGAAAAUCCGUGCAAGUGGGCCCCGAAGAUAUCAUGCUUAAUUUUACUUGAAUAAAAAGUAAACAAUUUUUGUCGCAGAACAAG